GGUCAGAGUUUUUCUGUUUUCAGUACGACCAGAUCGACAACGAGCACAAGGGACUUUUCCAGGGUCUUUUCGAUGUUGGCGUGUACCCUGGCAGCGUUGAGACUCUGAGGAAGUGCAGGGAGCUGAUGGCUGCUCACUUCGCCUACGAACAGUCGAUGAUGCUGAAGGCUAGCUACCCAGAGUACCCCCACCACAAGGCUGCUCACGAUGGCUACCUGGCUACUCUCGCCAAGAUGGAAUGCCCGGUCAACGCAUCCGACGUCGACUACGCCAAGGACUGGUUGGUGCAGCACAUCAAGACCGUUGAUUUCCCAUACAGAGGCAAGCUGUAAGAUGUGCCCGAUUCCACAUCAUUACUCAUCUACCAAUCGCGACUAUGUACGUCCUAUCCACGCGCCUUAAGGAAUUAUAGGCUUCAGUCCCUAACUCCUUUACAGACUGUUACACAUAUGGCCUAAAUUCUAAUUUAGAGCCGCAAUCCUUCGGAAUCCUUUCUGAGACUUCUGGCAAUUCAUGGGGUUUUCUAAAUUGUUGGGAAAAAUAUUUAACACGCCGGUAUCAAUCUGACGGUACACGCAGACCUGUUCUCUUUCUAAUUUUCUUGUUAAAAACACACCCAAAAUUAUACGUUUGAUUUUCUAAUUGAUAUAUUUUGGAAAUAAUAAACAAAUCAAGUAUUGUACA